rnacentral:lncRNA from 1 species
CUCCUUUGCAUCUUUUUCUUGCUCCUUUUCUUCUAUUCUUCUUAGUAUACGUCUGAUGUGUGCCUGCUGUUCUUCCUUCAGCUUGUCAUUUCUUUCAUUAUAUUCUUUGUUCUUUUUUUCCACUUGUUUCAAAUCAAACAAAACCUUAUCAGUUGCUGCUUCUUUUUUCUCAAUUUGAAAUUCUAGUAGGGCUUCCUGGAAAGCUGAUUCUUCUGCACUUUGCUCUUCUGGUUUCACCUUCUUCUCUUCCAUGCUUUUUGAUGUACUUCUGCUGGAUAUUAAAUACAACUCUGUCGUCCC